GUCCACGCCGUAAACGAUGAGCACUAGGUGUCGGGGUCGCAAGACUUCGGUGCCGCAGUUAACGCAUUAAGUGCUCCGCCUGGGGAGUACGCACGCAAGUGUGAAACUCAAAGGAAUUGACGGGGACCCGCACAAGCAGCGGAGCAUGUGGUUUAAUUCGAAGCAACGCGAAGAACCUUACCAGGACUUGACAUCCCUCUGACAGGAACUUAACCGUUCCCUUCUUCGGACAGAGGAGACAGGUGGUGCAUGGUUGUCGU
rnacentral:rRNA from 1 species